UGGUUGCUGUAGAGUUUUAGAAUUCCUACGCUUUACCGUGGCAUACGAAAUUCGGCAAAGCGUUUGGAUUCUGAAACCCUACCGAUCCAUUA
ensembl:ncRNA mir-927 mir-927 stem loop